UAGGGAAUCUUCCACAAUGGACGCAGGUCUGAUGGAGCAACGCCGCGUGAGUGAAGAAGGUUUUCGGAUCGUAAAGCUCUGUUGUUGGUGAAGAAGGAUAGAGGCAGUAACUGGUCUUUAUUUGACGGUAAUCAACCAGAAAGUCACGGCUAACUACGUGCCAGCAGCCGCGGUAAUACGUAGGUGGCAAGCGUUGUCCGGAUUUAUUGGGCGUAAAGCGAGCGCAGGCGGAAUGAUAAGUCUGAUGUGAAAGCCCACGGCUCAACCGUGGAACUGCAUCGGAAACUGUCAUUCUUGAGUGCAGAAGAGGAGAGUGGAACUCCAUGUGUAGCGGUGGAAUGCGUAGAUACAUGGAAGAACACCAGUGGCGAAGGCGGCUCUCUGGUCUGCAACUGACGCUGAGGCUCGAAAGCAUGGGUAGCGAACAGGAUUAGAUACCCUGGUAGUCCAUGCCGUAAACGAUGAGCGCUAGGUGUUGGGGACUUUCCGGUUCUCAGUGCCGCAGCAAACGCAUUAAGCGCUCCGCCUGGGGAGUACGACCGCAAGGUUGAAAC
rnacentral:rRNA from 1 species